UCGUAAAACCGGGGCACAAAGGCUGUCGCUGAUGCUUUCGAGUGUCGUGCACGCCCAAGUGUUCUCACACAUCCAUCUCACCCUUUUGUGCAUCACCGCGUGGGUCCCCCUUUGCAGGAGGGCUUGCGUUUUCACACAAAACUUGAUACAACUGUAGAAUGUUAUCUUUUGCGGUCAUACGCAAUCAAUA
rnacentral:misc_RNA from 1 species